rnacentral:misc_RNA from 1 species
CGGCGUUUCGACGCCGUUUUUUU